UACGUAGGGAGCAAGCGUUGUUCGGAUUUACUGGGCGUAAAGGGCGCGUAGGCGGCAAAUUAAGUCAGCUGUGAAAUCUCCGAGCUUAACUCGGAACGGUCAGCUGAUACUGAUCUGCUAGAGUGCGGAAGGGGCAAUCGGAAUUCCUGGUGUAGCGGUGAAAUGCGCAGAUAUCAGGAGGAACACCGAUUGCGAAGGCAGCUCGCUGGAACGUUACUGACGCUGAGACGCGAAAGCGUGGGGAGCAAACAGG
rnacentral:rRNA from 1 species